UGAUUUUCUCAUGAUAACACAAGUGGCGAUGAUUAUUUGAAGACAAUUACCAGCCAUUCCAAUUCUUUUGAAUGAGGUGUCUGCUGCAGGUACUGCAGGUCAAAGUUGGGGUUGUUAGCAUGCUGAAAGGUCUGACUCAACUGGACAAGGCAGUGUGAUCCCUUUUAUUGAAGACCCGGGAAUAUUUUUAGUGCCAGGGCUUUUGCCCAUUGGAAGCAAUUCUGUGUCAUAUGAAAGUCCUGAAUAACAGGAAGUGCAGAAGGGCUGCUAUUUCAGACUACAAUUCCCAACAUUUCCUGCUGGUUUCCAACCGGGUACUGAUAUGCAGGGCUGCUGCCAUCUAGCAUCCUGGGGAACAAACAUCCCCAAGAGAAAGUCUUUCUCUGUCCUUCACUUUGGGCUGGGAUGUCCAUCCAUCUACCUGGGGAGUCCUGUUCAGGUAAGGCACCUUCUUCUGUCUCGGCUGGGAUGUUUGUCAAUCCACCUGGGGCUUCCUAUCCACUUAAUGAACCUUCGCCUCUCCUGGUUGGGAUGCUCGUCCAUCCUGUGUGGCUCUUGCAGUGUAAAGUCACACAAUCAAUGUUACUGAUCUUCAGUAACAUCUUCCUUUUUAAAAUUCAGCAACC